rnacentral:rRNA from 1 species
AUUGAACGCUGGCGGCAGGCCUAACACAUGCAAGUCGAACGGUAACAGGAAGAAGCUUGCUUCUUUGCUGACGAGUGGCGGACGGGUGAGUAAUGUCUGGGAAACUGCCUGAUGGAGGGGGAUAACUACUGGAAACGGUAGCUAAUACCGCAUAACGUCGCAAGACCAAAGAGGGGGACCUUCGGGCCUCUUGCCAUCGGAUGUGCCCAGAUGGGAUUAGCUAGUAGGUGGGGUAACGGCUCACCCAGGCGACGAUCCCUAGCUGGUCUGAGAGGAUGACCAGCCACACUGGAACUGAGACACGGUCCAGACUCCUACGGGAGGCAGCAGUGGGGAAUAUUGGACAAUGGGCGCAAGCCUGAUGCAGCCAUGCCGCGUGUAUGAAGAAGGCCUUCGGGUUGUAAAGUACUUUCAGCGGGGAGGAAGGGAGUAAAGUUAAUACCUUUGCUCAUUGACGGUACCCGAAGAAGAAGCACCGGCUAACUCCGUG